CACGUAGGGCGCAAGCGUUGUCCGGAAUUAUUGGGCGUAAAGAGCUCGUAGGCGGUCUGUUGCGUCCGCUGUGAAAACUCGGGGCUUAACCCCGAGCCUGCAGUGGAUACGGGCAGACUAGAGGUAGGUAGGGGAGAAUGGAAUUCCCGGUGUAGCGGUGAAAUGCGCAGAUAUCGGGAGGAACACCGGUGGCGAAGGCGGUUCUCUGGGCCUUACCUGACGCUGAGGCACGAAAGCCGGGGGAGCAAACAGG
rnacentral:rRNA from 1 species